GGCGUGUAAAUGAGUGAAAAUGUCCAAUACAAAACAUGGUAGGAACACUACAAGGGUAUACUCUCUACAUGAUACUUAGGCAUACUUGGUGUGGGGGCCCCUGUUGACUGUUGAGCUCAUUGCUAUGACGUAGAGUAGUUGGAGUAUACUUUUGUCCAGGGCCGCCGAGAGCUUGGCGGGGGCCCAGGGAAAAUUUUUUUAGGGGCCCCUA